rnacentral:rRNA from 1 species
UUAGGAAUCUUCCACAAUGGGCGAAAGCCUGAUGGAGCGACGCCGCGUGAGGGAUGAAGGUCGUAAGAUUGUAAACUCCUGUUAGAGGGGAAGAAUAGUACCGGUUGGACCGGUAUAUGACUGUACCCUCAGAGAAAGCCCCGGCUAACUACGUGCCAGCAGCCGCGGUAAUGCGUAGGGGGCAAGCGUUGUCCGGAUUUACUGGGUGUAAAGGGCGCGCAGGCGGGAUAAAAAGUCAGUGGUGAAAUCCUACAGCUUAACUGUAGAACUGCCUUUGNUACUUUUAUUCUUGAGUUCGGGAGAGAGAGACGGAAUUCCAGGUGUAGUGGUGAAAUACGUAGAUAUCUGGAAGAACACCAGUUGCGAAGGCGGUCUCUUGGUCCGACACUGACGCUGAGGCGCGAAAGCGUGGGGAGCAAACA